GGCGGACCCGGCGGCGCGCUGGACACGAGUGCAACCAUGAAUGCGGAGACCCUUCGGCCCAUAAUGUCUCCCCUCAGCCUCCGACUCUCCAGAGAAAAUAAUCCAAGUUCUAUGUGAACUCUAGGAGCUAGUACAGCACUAAUAACUACCGUCUUGUGUGGUGGAAACGUCUGAAGAGCAAACGCUCACAUGGAAGUGGUGAUAGACUCGAGGCACUCAUCAUGUGAAGAAUUUGCAGAAUAAAUAAUUGAGCUGCUGGUCCACAGAGAUUCCUUCUACCUAUUUUAAUUUAGUUACAAUUUACAGGGAUUGAAGAUGAGUACCUUAAGUGAAGGUUUUAAAAAUAAAAAUAAAAAAUACCUUAUUUUGCUAAAUAAAACCUGAGAAAGCACCCUACAACUAAACCAAAAACAAAAACCAAAAUGCCCAAGAACUGUGAGACAGCAAUAGAACUUGGCUCACAUAGUUUUACUAAACUACAGAUGUAGUUCAACCACUUUACACCCCAGGUGUGGAAUAGAAAUCCUACUUUCCACAGGAACUAAUGUAAUGCUUAAGACAAUCAAUGUUAUGACACGGACUAAGUGAAUUCUUCAAACAUAAAAUUAUGUGAUCCAAUUACUCUCCUAAUUUACAAUAAAGACUAGAAAUCAGUAUACGCAUACCUGGAAAGGAAAA